rnacentral:tRNA from 1 species
GCAGGCGUAGUUCAGUGGUAGAACUUCAGCUUCCCAAGCUGACCAUGCGGGUUCGAUUCCCGUCGCUUGCUCCA